GUGAUUGCUUUAACACUGCAUGUACUAAAAUUGGAAUGAUACAGAAAAGAUUAGCAUGGCCCCAAUAUAAGGAGGACAUGCAAAUUUGUGAAGCAUCCCAUAUUUUA
ensembl:snRNA U6 U6 spliceosomal RNA